GGAGAGAUGCAGGAGCGGCUUAACUGGCAUGACUGGAAAUCAUGUGUGGCAGCAAUGUCACCGAGGGUUCGAAUCCCUCUCUCUCCGCCA
rnacentral:tRNA from 1 species